rnacentral:rRNA from 1 species
CAGGGUCUUGACAUCUUCUGACAAUCCUAGAGAUAGGACUUUCCCUUCGGGGACAGAAUGACAGGUGGUGCAUGGUUGUCGUCAGCUCGUGUCGUGAGAUGUUGGGUUAAGUCCCGCAACGAGCGCAACCCUUAUUGUUAGUUGCCAGCAUUAAGUUGGGCACUCUAGCAAGACUGCCGGUGACAAACCGGAGGAAGGUGGGGAUGACGUCAAAUCAUCAUGCCCCUUAUGACCUGGGCUACACACGUGCUACAAUGGACGGUACAACGAGUCGCAAGACCGCGAGGUUUAGCAAAUCUCUUAAAGCCGUUCUCAGUUCGGAUUGUAGGCUGCAACUCGCCUACAUGAAGUCGGAAUCGCUAGUAAUCGCGGAUCAGCAUGCCGCGGUGAAUACGUUCCC